UACGGAGGGAGCUAGCGUUGUUCGGAAAUACUGGGCGUAAAGCGCACGUAGGCGGCGCAGCAAGUCAGGGGUGAAAUCCCGGGGCUCAACCCCGGAACUGCCCUUGAAACUGCAGUGCUAGAAUUCUGGAGAGGCGAGUGGAAUUCCGAGUGUAGAGGUGAAAUUCGUAGAUAUUCGGUAAGAACACCAGUGGCGAAGGCGACUCGCUGGACAGACAUUGACGCUGAGGUGCGAAAGCGUGGGGAGCAAACAGG
rnacentral:rRNA from 1 species